GACUCUCGGCAACGGAUAUCUCGGCUCUUGCGUCGAUGAAGAACGUAGCGAAAUGCGAUACUUGGUGUUAAUUGCAGAAUCCCGUGAACCAUCGAGUCUUUGAACGCAAGUUGCGCCCGAAGCAACUAGGCCGAGGGCACGCCUGCUUGGGUGUCA
rnacentral:rRNA from 1 species